ensembl:lncRNA
AGGUGAGGUUAUCUAUCUGGAGAUUCCUGCCUGCCUGAGGCCUUUUGAAGGAGAGGUGUUCUGUUGCUUGGAUCAUUUUUGUGGCCCACUUCUGGAAGCACUCCAACAGGUUUAUGUCUUUCCUGUGCUAAGGACUCUGCAUCUGGACAUAGUACUCUAGGUCAAGAUACGCAGGAUACAUUUCCUGUAAGCGUCUAUUGAAGUGCUCUUCCUUUCUAUACAAGCGACUAGGUAUUGUAGAUAAACUCAAGACCAGAUCUACUACGAUGAUAUACAGGCUACAGAAAGGCCUUCUGUGGAACUUAAACCAACUCUAUAUUCCACCACAUACCAUCAUAUGAAGCACUGGGAGUUAAAGAGUUAAUGCUCCAGUUCCGUGGAUUGUUGAUAUUUCUGGGUACCUGGUUCUCAGAAGAGAAGAACUACACAUCCCAGAAGACUUUCACUGUCCACUUCCAUUCUCCAUUCAGAGGGAAAGAUAAAAUGCUCAUAAGUCAGAAGACUGUUCCUUCUUUUACUGCUCAUCACUUUGGUGUGUGCUCCCUAUCUGUCUUGCCUUCAGCAUUAGAGUAAGGCCUUUGGUUUCAGACACUGUUUCUCUCUCAUUUCAUUUGAUUUAUUAGGUUCAAUUCCAAUUAUAUUGUAUUAUAUUGUAUUACCUCACAUUUCACUAUCAUAUAUAGUACAUUAGUUUUUCUCCCUUAGCUCACUGCUGCUGUUUUGUUUUUAGGCCCAUCACUCUACCUUUCCCUUUUUACCCUUCUCCUGGGCCAUAGGCCUGGAGGUCCCUCCACUCUAUUUAGUCGUGGAAAUGGGCCAAACAGACCCAAAUCCGUGACACCUAUUAAGCAGUACAAAUAAUAUUAUGCAUUUUGAUACGCAAGCUAAACGUACUCCUAUGAACAGCAAAGUCUACAGUCAUGCUUUCCAUUCUGAUAAAGGAAUUUGCAAAUAGCUUUCAAGAUUGCUGAAAAAUAUAUAUAUAUAUAUUUUGUAUAUUUGCAUUUCUAUUUUCAGUCAACAUAAAUAAUAAAUAACUUGCAAAUUUUCAAAUGGAUUAUAUAGUGUUGUGGUCAGAUAUUC